GUGCUCACUUUGGCAGCACAUAUACUAAAAUUGGAAUGAUACAGAGAAGAUUAGUGUAGCCCCUGCAAAAGAAUGACACACAAAAAUUAAUCAUAUGUUUUUUUUUU